GCUUAACACAUGCAAGUCGAACGGAAAGGCCCUGCUUUUGUGGGGUGCUCGAGUGGCGAACGGGUGAGUAACACGUGAGUAACCUGCCCUUGACUUUGGGAUAACUUCAGGAAACUGGGGCUAAUACCGGAUAGGAGCUCCUGCUGCAUGGUGGGGGUUGGAAAGUUUCGGCGGUUGGGGAUGGACUCGCGGCUUAUCAGCUUGUUGGUGGGGUAGUGGCUUACCAAGGCUUUGACGGGUAGCCGGCCUGAGAGGGUGACCGGCCACAUUGGGACUGAGAUACGGCCCAGACUCCUACGGGAGGCAGCAGUGGGGAAUAUUGCACAAUGGGCGGAAGCCUGAUGCAGCAACGCCGCGUGCGGGAUGACGGCCUUCGGGUUGUAAACCGCUUUCGCCUGUGACGAAGCGUGAGUGACGGUAAUGGGUAAAGAAGCACCGGCUAACUACGUGCCAGCAGCCGCGGUGAUACGUAGGGUGCGAGCGUUGUCCGGAUUUAUUGGGCGUAAAGGGCUCGUAGGUGGUUGAUCGCGUCGGAAGUGUAAUCUUGGGGCUUAACCCUGAGCGUGCUUUCGAUACGGGUUGACUUGAGGAAGGUAGGGGAGAAUGGAAUUCCUGGUGGAGCGGUGGAAUGCGCAGAUAUCAGGAGGAACACCAGUGGCGAAGGCGGUUCUCUGGGCCUUUCCUGACGCUGAGGAGCGAAAGCGUGGGGAGCGAACAGGCUUAGAUACCCUGGUAGUCCACGCUGUAAACGGUGGGUACUAGGUGUGGGGUCCAUUCCACGGGUUCCGUGCCGUAGCUAACGCUUUAAGUACCCCGCCUGGGGAGUACGGCCGCAAGGCUAAAACUCAAAGGAAUUGACGGGGCCCCGCACAAGCGGCGGAGCAUGCGGAUUAAUUCGAUGCAACGCGUAGAACCUUACCUGGGUUUGACAUGGAUCGGGAGUGCUCAGAGAUGGGUGUGCCUCUUUUGGGGUCGGUUCACAGGUGGUGCAUGGCUGUCGUCAGCUCGUGUCGUGAGAUGUUGGGUUAAGUCCCGCAACGAGCGCAACCCUUGUUCACUGUUGCCAGCACGUUAUGGUGGGGACUCAGUGGAGACCGCCGGGGUCAACUCGGAGGAAGGUGGGGAUGACGUCAAGUCAUCAUGCCCCUUAUGUCCAGGGCUUCACGCAUGCUACAAUGGCUGGUACAGAGAGUGGCGAGCCUGUGAGGGUGAGCGAAUCUCGGAAAGCCGGUCUCAGUUCGGAUUGGGGUCUGCAACUCGACCUCAUGAAGUCGGAGUCGCUAGUAAUCGCAGAUCAGCAACGCUGCGGUGAAUACGUUCCCGGGGCUUGUACACACCGCCCGUCAAGUCAUGAAAGUUGGUAACACCCGAAGCCGGUGGCCUAACCGUUGUGGGGGAGCCGUCGAAGGUGGGACUGGUGAUUAGGACUAAGUCGU
rnacentral:rRNA from 1 species